GAUGAAGAACGUAGCAAAAUGCGAUAAGUAAUGUGAAUUGCAGAAUUCAGUGAAUCAUCGAAUCUUUGAACGCACAUUGCGCCCGCUGGUAUUCCGGCGGGCAUGCCUGUUCGAGCGUCAUUUCAACCCUCAAGCCCCCGGGUUUGGUGUUGGGGAUCGGCUCUGCCCUUCUGGGCGGUGCCGCCCCCGAAAUACAUUGGCGGUCUCGCUGCAGCCUCCAUUGCGUAGUAGCUAACACCUCGCAACUGGAACGCGGCGCGGCCAUGCCGUAAAACCCCAACGUCUGAAUGUUGACCUCGGAUCAGGUAGGAAUACCCGCUGAACUUAAGAAUAUCAAUAAGCGGAGGA
rnacentral:misc_RNA from 1 species